GCCAGGUCUUCUAAAAGCCAUUUAAUUCAAGUUGUAAGGGCUAGACAAUCCGAUCCUCAGGACACAGCGCAGGGAGGCCCAGAGACGGAGAUAUAGAAAUACUUCGUGACACAGCUGGGUGCCAUGGUGUACACAGGUAAAUCUAACACUAUGGGAAGCUGAGGCAGCAGGAUCAAAAGUCUGGGCACAGCAUGAGCACCUCAGCAAGACUGUCUCAAAAUAAAAAAGGGAUGGGGAUGCAGCUCAAUGUAAAGCAAAGCCCUGGAACCAAUCCUUAGUGAAGAAAAAAAAAAAAGACAGACUUUGUGACAACAGCAAUCACACACAAGGACUCCACUUUCACAGGACCUUGCCCCGCCAGGACGUCACGGGUGUUUGUGUGCAGCAUUGGCUACUGAGCAACGCAGACAGGAGGCCCAGGGCCAGGUCCCCAUGGCCAAUGGGGUGAGCUUUCCCAGGAAGGAGGGCGAGAGGGAGGUGGCCCCUCCUCAGGGAGGACAGAGCUAGGUGACAGGCAUGGUGCUGGCAAUGCUCCGCUGAGACCCUGCCUGGGACAUGGACCCUGCAAGUGGCUGGAGGCAGAACAGCCCAGCUGGGCCAGUUUUGCAUCUCAAUUCCCCCUCCAUCUCCUUGGAGAUCCCAGCAAAACCAACUGCAAUGAAAUGGGCCAGUGGAACCUUCUCAGGCCCGGAGCCAUCAUGUUCCUGCCCCCUACUUGGAAUGGGUGGCCUGGGCACGUCACUCUCUCCAAGGAACAGUGACAGGGACCAUGCUGCCGUCUCUGCCCCUACUCCCUCCACACCUCUGGCACGGGGUGAGGGGGACAGUGGGGAAGAGGUCCCAACCUCACAAACCCAGGUCUCCAGAGGGGACAAUCACAACUCAGCGGAGGGACAAGUAACAAUAACCACACCCAGCAGGGGCAGAUGGCCUUCACCUCUGCCACAGUCUGAAAACUCCCUUGGCCACACUGACUUCACGCAGAGGAGCCUAGAGCAUCGGAUAGAGUAAUUCAUCGAGCUGUGGCCCUGACUGUGACAAAAUCUCUGGACCAUGAGGCCAUGGGGCUGCCCUGAACCCGGUCCUUGUCCCCAUGCUGUGGCUAGAAAAGCCUCACUGCUGCAGGGGCCAGGGCCAGGGCCAGGAGCAAGGGGUUUUUCUCACACUACUGCCACCUGGUCCACAGCUCCUAUGGUGACAUGGAGUGGGGUGGAGGCCAUUCUGGGAUCCCACGGUAACUGUCCAGGUAGCAUACAAAGACCUGAGGGGCUGGCCGUGCAGAGACAGCACAGCCAGGGGAUGGGGGGCCAGGGCAACCUCGGUGUCCAGCUGCAGGCUUAGUCUCCUGCCUUCCCCUAUACGACGUCCUAGCAACGCUGGCCUUUGGUGCUGUAGUCACAGAGACAGCAGGGGUGGGACAGGAGACUCCCGAGGUGGGCUGGGGGACUACACAGAGGGGACUGUGACAAACAAGACCAAAAGACACAUGGAUGCUCCACAGCCACCCAUGACCCAGCCACAUCAGACACUUUCUAAAAACUCUCAUUUAAUACUGGAUGUGAUGUGUGACAUAAAAUACGUGUGCAACUCAUAUCAAACUAUACAGUCACAACGGACGACGUAAAAUACAGGGAUUUUAAACAUCUCAGGAAAUAUAUAUUCCGGAAAACAGCAACACAGAGACUGGCUUUUGCUGGCCAUGACACAGUCUCUUCUGACUGUGAAUGGGAGGGUUGGAGCCAUGGGCACCUGACAGAUCCCGGGGUCCGUGUCCUAGAGCGGCCCACGCACAGGAGGGGGUGUCCCCGUGCCAGCCACUCUCGGGCCAUGUAGAGCGUGUGCCUCGGCUCAGAUGCUUGCAUGGGUGCACAUCACCGGCGGCGCCGACUCCUUUCUUCCAGGACCUGAUUAUCAAAUAUUUGUUUUUCCCUGCAGAAAACAGAAGUUGAUAUAUCACAUGAGUGAUUAAUCAUGGAGUUUGCAAAGAGCAUGAGAGGUGGGCGUGGUGGCACACACCUGUAAUCCUGGCACUCGGGAGGCUGAGCCAGGAGGAUCCCUGAAAUUUUAAGGCUAGCCUGGGUUACAUAGUGAAACUUCUCAAAAAAAUUAAAACAGACAGACAAGAAAGAUGGUUCUGGGGCCAGGCGUGUAGCUCAGUUAUCCCAUGCCUGCCUGGCAAGGCCAAGGUCCUGAGUUUGAUUCUUGGUAUCAAAAAAAAAAAAAAAAAAGAAAGAUGGUCCUGGUUCUGGUUCUGGGCACAAUAGUGCACAUCUGUAACCCUAGCACUUGGGAAAUGAGGCAGAAAAGACUGCAAGUUUGAAGCUGGGCUGGGUUAUACAGUGAGUUUGAGGCUAGCCUGGACAACACAAGACCAGGUCUUUUAAAAAAAGGAUACAGGGGCCGGGGAACUAGCUCAGUGGUUCCAGCAGCUGCUUCACAAGCGCAAGGUCCUGAGUUCAAUCCCC
rnacentral:lncRNA from 1 species